UCGGCACCGGCACAUCGCAGGGCGUGCCGAUGAUUGGAUGUGAUUGCGAUGUCUGCCAUUCGAGUGACCCGCGCGAUCAGCGCUUGCGGUCCUCGAUUUAUGUCGAAACGCCGGAGUGCGCGUGGGUCGUGGAUACGGGCCCGGAUUUUCGGACGCAGGCAUUGCGGGAAAACAUUCGCCGCCUGGAUGCCGUCGUCUUCACCCACUCGCACACGGACCACAUCAUGGGGUUCGACGAUCCUCGGCGUUAUUCGCAUGACCUGGGAUCAAUCCCGGUCUACGCCUCCGCCGAAACGAUGCGCGAUCUUGAGCGUGUUUAUGAAUUCGCCUUCAACGGUCUCAAUCGCUUUC
rnacentral:misc_RNA from 1 species